rnacentral:tRNA from 1 species
AAUUUUAUAUUAUUAUUAAUUUUUUCUUCUUAUUUAUUUAUAUUUUUUAUUUAUUUUUAUUUAAAU